rnacentral:rRNA from 1 species
UGCGAGUCGAGCGAGAAACCCUGCACCCACUAUACUCUUCAGGCUUUGGUGCAGUUCACCAGGCUAUGGAGAGUAAAGUGGGUGCAGGGGAGUAAAGCGGCGGAUGGGUGAGUAACGCGUGGACAACCCAUCCUUUGGUUCGGGAUAACCCUGCGAAAGCGGGGCUAAUACCGGAUAAUCUGCAAGUAUCCCAGGAGAUUUGCGGUAAAGCAUGCCUCUGAAUCAAGCAUGCGCCAAAGGCAGGGUCCGCGUCCCAUUAGCUAGUCGGUAGGGUAACGGCCUACCGAGGCGACGAUGGGUAGCUGGUUUGAGAGGAUGAUCAGCCACAUUGGGACUGGAACACGGCCCAAACUCCUACGGGAGGCAGCAGUGGGGAAUCUUGGGCAAUGGGCGCAAGCCUGACCCAGCGACGCCGCGUGAGGGAAGAAGGCCCUCGGGUCGUAAACCUCUGUCAGGAGGGAAGAAAAUGCUACAUAUUAAAAGUGUGUAGUAUUGACGGUACGUCCAGAGGAAGCGCCGGCCAACUCCGUGCCAGCAGCCGCGGUAAUACGGAGGGCGCAAGCGUUAUUCGGAAUUACUGGGCGUAAAGCGCGCGUAGGCGGCAACGCAAGUCAGGUGUGAAAGCCCUCGGCUCACCCGGGGAAUUGCACUUGAAACUGCGUAGCUAGAGUUCUGGAGAGGGUGGCGGAAUUCCCGGUGUAGGAGUGAAAUCCGUAGAGAUCGGGAGGAACACCAGAGGCGGAGGCGGCCACCUGGCCAGAAACUGACGCUGAGGCGCGAAAGCGUGGGUAGCAAACAGGAUUAGAUACCCUGGUAGUCCACGCUGUAAACAUUGGAUGCUAGAUGCGGGUGACGUAGAAGUUAUUCGUGUCGCAGCUAACGCGUUAAGCAUCCCGCCUGGGGAGUACGGCCGCAAGGCUGAAACUCAAAGGAAUUGAC